GACAGCCCCUGUGCCAGUGAUGAUAUGGUACUCCCCAUUAUCAUUAUAUCAGGUACCCCCAUGACUCUGGAAGGGGUUCUCUAAAGAUUUCUUACAGAUUUGGACAUUGAAGCUUAGUGAGGCCCAUCACACAGCUCAGAAGUUGCAAUGUUAGGUGUUGAACCCAACACUUCAGAUUCUAGAGUCCUGUUCUUAAAUGCUACAUUAAAGGAUCUUAUGAACGGCUGUUCCCUGUUCCAAUGCAGAACAGAGUAGAGUCCUCAAGUAAAAACUACAAAUACAUCUACACAGAGGAGGUCAGGUUCAGCUGUCCCUGAGCUUAGGCUCCACCUUCAGGACAGCGCUGUGGAGCUCCACAUGAACUUUAAACAGUACUAUGAAAGAAGGACUAUUACUACUUCCAGAUGAAGAAACUUCUGCCAGGGGAAAACACAUGGUUAGUACAUAGCAGAGCUGUCACUCAAACCCAGACCUCCAGGGCCCAAAGUCUUAGCUUCACUAAACACCAGGAUGUCAUCAAGAAGCUGUGAAACAGUAGCCCAUGAUCAUGGAAAAUGGAGCCUGACCUCGCCUGGGAAUAUUUACACAAAGGAAAUAGCAUUUACCCUGUUCUCACAGGAGAGGAGCUGACCAAAAUGACAAGAGUCGGAUGAUUUCUAUGCAGAGGGGGACGUGAUGUUCAAAGGCCAAGAGGACCAAAUUAGUAACAUAGCAAAGGCUGCACUGACUGACGCAGGAGGCCUGUGACACGGCAAGGAAGGGGUCUGAAGAGACAAACUGGCCCCAGAUCAAAGACCUUGAGUGCAGUAAGUUUAGGAAUUCGAUUUAGCCCUGGGCACAUUUGGAGCCACUGAUGGCAUUUUCAGGCAGAGGAGUAGCUUGUGGUGAAAUGAGUCAGGAAGAGGAGGAGAAAAGUGGGGUUAAAUACCAGUCAGGAGGCUGCAUGAGAGGCAGUGCUGAUGGAAGAGAGAAAAGAGCCUGAACAACAGUUUCUGGGGAUGGACAAAAAAGCAGCUGACCCAGGAGGAAAGUGAGGGACAUGAGACAGGGAGAAAAGAUCAAAAUUGUUCCCUGGCUGUUGGGUCCCAGCACUGAAGUUCCCCUGCUGGGACAGGAAACACAGCCAAGCAAGAGCUGGUUUUCAUUUUGUUUGGUUGCAGUGUGAGGAGAUACCAUAAUCAGUAGAGGUCACAGGCCACUGCAGAGUAAGGGAACCAAGGCCUACGGAGAUGUACAUCUGAAAGUCCUCAGGGUCGUCCAGGGAAGAGACCAGGCAAGGUAACACAUCCCCUCCCCCAGAUGCAGCCCCAGCACCAACUCAUCCAUGCCCAGCCUUGGUCGCUGUGCAACCACAGAAUGUGCUGCUCUCCUCAGAGUCUAAGGGCUGUGGCUCAUUACAGUUUGGACUACGUUAGCACUAAACAUCCCAUAAUUGCAGAGCUUGCCUGAUGCUCUGUCAUUAGCUCUCUGGAUCUCUGAGCCCCACCUCUCUAUUGGAUUUGCUGACUGACCCCAACAUAAAAUGUCUAGUUAACCAGGGCAGCUCUGGCUAUGAGGUGGAGGGCUCCCGCUGCUCUUGCCCACCCUAACUGUCCGUGGUUCAACCUUCCUCAGCCAUGAACUUGAAGCUGCCAUCUCUCUAUGCAUGAAAUCUGUCCUUUGCAAGUACAGACAACUGAUCUGAUUACUCACACAGAGGAGAACUGAAAAUUGAGGUCAAGGCAGAAGGCCUGGCAAUGAGUCACUUUUCUUCAUGGUGGAAAAUCACCAGUCAGGAGCCUGUAGGGGUCUCUGCUUGAAGAGCCAGAGGAACCGAGCUGGGACUGGGGCUCAGUAUUUGCCAUAUCCGUGAUGAACAGAAACCUGGACCUAAGACUAUAAAAGCCAUUCCUGCAUCUGAGAGCAGGUGAAGGGUCCCCCCAGGGCUGGGGUUCCUAGGGGUUCUGCCAUGUCCCUGAAGACAUCCUGUUUGCCAUGUUGCUCCUUUAUGCCUCAGACAGAGGCUUUCCUAGACAUCUAGAAUGAGGUGACUAAGCCCCCAGAUCUGGAUCUUCUGGAGUCUCGCAGACUGUAAACACAACUCCAGAUGCAACCACAGUCUUCCCCACACACCACACUCCCAGGCAGAUGAUGCUGUUUAGGCUGGAAUUAUGCAGGGCGGGGUUGGAGGAAGUUACAGGACUUAUCUUAAGGAACUCCAGAACCAAGCAAUUCAUUCCUAACACACUUCUCCAGAACUUCUCUAGGCCAGAGGGAAUAGAUUACUCACCUGACAAGUGAAGGAUUGCCGAUGACAGAGCACCUUUUAUUAUAUAAUCCUUUAAGGCAGUUUGGUGAUCAGAGUUGGGCAUUCUACUUUACAGAUGUAGAAACGGAGAUUUAGAGGCAUUGUGUAAUCUGUCUAAGACCCCCCCAACCCCCACCAACUGUUUUAAUAAACAUCCUGGUCACUGUGCUAAGUGCUUGACC